AGUGAACGCUGGCGGUAGGCCUAACACAUGCAAGUCGAACGGCAGCACAGUAAGAUCUUGCUCUUACGGGUGGCGAGUGGCGGACGGGUGAGGAAUACAUCGGAAUCUACUUUUUCGUAGGGGAUAACGUAGGGAAACUUACGCUAAUACCGCAUACGACCUACGGGUGAAAGCAGGGGAUCUUCUGACCUUGCGCGAUUGAAUGAGCCGCUGUCGGAUUAGCUAGUUGGCGGGGUAAAGGCCCACCAAGGCGACGAUCCGUAGCUGGUCUGAGAGGAUGAUCAGCGACACUGGAACUGAGACACGGUCCAGACUCCUACGGGAGGCAGCAGUGGGGAACAUUGGACAGUGGGCGCAAGCCUGAUCCAGCCAUACCGCGUGGGUGAAGGAGGCCUUCGGGUUGUAAAGCCCUUUUGUUGGGAAAGAAAAGCAGCAGGUUAAUACCCCGCUGUUCUGACGGUACCCAAAGAAUAAGCACCGGCUAACUUCGUG
rnacentral:rRNA from 1 species